UAGCAACGCACAGGCGUUCUCCUCUCGAUUCUCUGUUGUGCGACGUCGCAACUUCUUCUCCAACUCUGCGGGUGUAGGUUGAUCGAGGGUCGAAUAAUGGACGUAACACAGCUGCUAGAGAAGAGAUUAUAAUAUGGAAAAUAGCAGAUGAGGAGGAAGCUGAAGUUGGUAGAUCAAUUGAGCAAGAGUUCCAGACCCAGUCCCUGUAGUAGAGCAACCGCAGCCUCAAACUUCAGAGAAGAUGGGCAUGAAUGGAUGUUUUGGUUGCAGGUUACACCAAGAACAAGUGCCUCAGAUCAUUCAUUUUUCAGGCAGCGGAAGGAUCACUCCCCC